rnacentral:rRNA from 1 species
AGUGAACGCUGGCGGUAGGCCUAACACAUGCAAGUCGAACGGCAGCACAGUAAGAGCUUGCUCUUACGGGUGGCGAGUGGCGGACGGGUGAGGAAUACAUCGGAAUCUACUUUUUCGUGGGGGAUAACGUAGGGAAACUUACGCUAAUACCGCAUACGACCUACGGGUGAAAGCAGGGGAUCUUCGGACCUUGCGCGAUUGAAUGAGCCGAUGUCGGAUUAGCUAGUUGGCGGGGUAAAGGCCCACCAAGGCGACGAUCCGUAGCUGGUCUGAGAGGAUGAUCAGCCACACUGGAACUGAGACACGGUCCAGACUCCUACGGGAGGCAGCAGUGUGGAAUGUUGGACAAUGGGCGCAAGCCUGAUCCAGCCAUACCGCGUGGGUGAAGAAGGCCUUCGGGUUGUAAAGCCCUUUUGUUGGGAAAGAAAAGCAGCAGGUUAAUACCCCGCUGUUCUGACGGUACCCAAAGAAUAAGCACCGGCUAACUUCGUG